rnacentral:lncRNA from 1 species
AGUGCUGUCGGGAAGGCCACUGGAGUCAUACGCAAGGUCUGAUGCUGAUUCUCCUGCCCCCCUCACAGGGCAGUGAUGUGGAACCAAGUGAGACAGUGCACAGAAAAGCAUUUUAUUGGCUGAACAGCCCUGUGAUAACUACGAGAGGGUCCUCCAGGCCUGGGCCUCCAGCCACCUCCUGUCAGAGCUAAUCAAGCCAGCACCAACUCAGCAACUCCCUGGACAGACCCUCCAGGAGCAACUGAAAGCCUCUCAGUAGAGAACUGCCCUUGCUACCCUCAGACUAAUAAAGGAGGAAAGACCCUAAGUGCCUUAUCCACACCUCCAACAAGCUGCAGUUAAUCCAAGGAGAGGCCAGUCUGUCUCCCACGGGUCCCACACCAUCCUCCCUCCAUGGCUAGUCACCAGACAGGGAAUCUCUGGCUUGGGCUCACAGCACAGACCCUCCAUCUUGGGCUGACUGUACUGAGUGAUUGCUAACCUGCAUCUUCCUGGGGUGGAGCCCCCAGGAGUCAAUAAAAUGACCCUUGGCCACACCACCACUAAGAUCUCUUCCUCUAUGGCCUCUAAGCUGAGGAAGGAAUAUAAACACUGAGAUUGCCCCAGAGCUGCAGUGAGCAGCCCAGAAGUGCCAAGUCACGAACUACAGCCAGAACUAAAGGGUGGAGAGGUAUCCACACUUUCAGAGCACUAAGAGGUAAAACAGCUCCAACUGUGAGGAAACAUAGGGAAACCACCCAACCAAGCAAGAGUCUACCAACUGACCAAUAGGCCUAAGUGUCACCUUCUGGAUCACACUCCAAAGCUUCAACACCAAAAAUAUCUCACUAACAUAACCCCUUCUGAAACCAGAGACAAGAAGUCAGCUUCAAAUAAAGACCCUCACAAAGCCUUGGCCUAGUGAAAACAUCCAGAAAAGAAGUCUAUUUGACUGUAUUCAUCUACACUACAGUUAAAGGAACACCCACAUGCAGAGAUGAGAAAGAAUCAAUGCAAGAACUCUAGUAACUCAAAUGGCCAGAGCGUCCUACAUCCUCCAAAUAACAGCACCAGUUCUCCAACAAGAGCUCUUAACCAAGCAAGCUCGAACUUGCUGGAAUGACAGAAAUAGAAUUCAGAAUAUGGAUAGGAAUGAAGAUCAUCAAGAUUCAGGAGGAUGGCAAAACCCAAUCCAAGGAAAAUAAGAAUCACAUUAAAGUGAUACAGAAGUUGAAGGAUAAAACAGCCAGUAUAAGAAAAGAACCUAAUGAGUCUGAAAGAGCUAAAUAACACAAUACAAGACAUUCACAAUUCAAUCACAAGUAUUAACAGCAGAAUAAACCAAGCUAAGGGAAGAAUCUCAGAACUUGAAGACUGGCUUUCUGAAACAAGACAGUCAAAAAUAAGGAAAAAAAAAAAACUAAAAAGGAAUGAACAAAACCUCCAAAAAAGUAUGAGAUUAUAUAAAGAGGCAAAAUCCACAAAUCAAUGGCAUCCCUGAAAGGGAGGAGGAGAAAGCAAACAACUUGGAAAACAUAUUUCAGGAUAUCAUCCAUGAAAAUUUCCCCAACCUUGCUAAAGAGGCCAACAGUCAAAUUCAGGAAAUACAGAGAACUCCUGCAAGAUUCUACACAAGAAGAUCAUUCCCAAGACACAUAAUUGUUAGAUUUUCAAAGGUCAAAAUGAAAGACUGUUAAAGGCAGCUAGAGAGAAAGGGCAGGUUACCUACAAAGGGAUCCCCAUCAGGCUAACAGUGGACCUCUCAGCUGAAACCCUACAAGCCAGAGAGAUUGAGGGCCUAUAUUUAACAUUCUUAAAGAAAAAAAUCUUCAACCAAGAACUUCAUAUGCAGCCAAACUAAACUCCCUAAGUGAUGGAGAAAUAAGAUCCUUUUCAGAUAAGAAAAUGUUGAAGGACUUCAUUACCACCAGAUCUGUCUUACAAGAGAUCUUGAGAGAAGCACUAAAUAUAAAAAGGAAAGAUCACUACCAGCUAAUCCAAAAAUACAUGUAAACACACAGACCAGUGUCACUGUAAAGCAGCCACACAGUAAGCCAACAUAAUAACCAGCUAACAGCACAAUGACAGGAUCAAAUCCACACAUAUUAAUAUGAACCUGGAAAGUAAACAAGCUAAAUGCCCCACUUAACAGGCAUAGAGUGAGAAACUGGAUAAAAAAGAAACAUCUAUGGUAUGUAUGCUGUCUUCAAGAGACCCAUCUCACAUGUAAUGACAAAAUAAAGGGAUGGAGAAAAAUCUACCGAGCAAAUGAAAAACAGAAAAAAGCAGGGGUUGCAAUCUUACUUUCAGACAAAACUCAUUUCAGAUCACAAAGAUCAAAAAAGACAAGGAAGGGCAUUACAUAAUGAUAAAGGUUUCAAUUCGACAAGAAGGCCUAACUAUCCUAAAUAUAUAUGCACCCAACACAGGAGCACCCAGUUUUAUAAAGCAAGCUCUUAGAGACCUACAAAGAGACAUAGGCUCCCACACAGUAAUAGUGGGAGACUUCAGCAGUCCACUGACAGCAUUAGAUGGAACAUCCAGGCAGAAAAUUAACAAAGACAUUCAGGAUGGUAACUCAGCAUUGGACCAAACGGAUCCAAUAGACCUUUACAGAAGGUUCUACCCAAAACAACAGAAUAUACAUUUAUCUCAUCACCACAUGACACAUACUUUAAAGUCAACCACAUAAUUGGACAUAAAACAAUCCUCAACAAAUAGAACCAAAAUCAUACCAAACACAUUCUCAGACCACAGUGCAAUAAAAAUACAAGUCAACACACUGAAAAUUGCUCAAAAUCAUACAAUUACAUGGAAAUUAAACAACGUGCUACUGAAUGACUUCUGGGUAAAUAAUGAAGUUAAGGCAGAAAUCAAUAAGCUCUUUUAAAAUAAUGAGAACAAAGAUACAACAUAUCAGAAUCUCUGGGACACAGCUAAGGCAGGGUUAAGAGAGAAAUUUAUAGCACUAAAUGCCCACAUCAAAAAGCUAAAAAAAAAAUCUCAAAUUAACAACUUAACAACUGAAAGAAUCAAAGAAGCGAGAACAAAUUAACCCCAAAGCUAGCAGAAGAUGAGAAAUAACAAAAAUCAGAGUUGAACUGGAGGAAAUCAAGACAGAAAAAUAUUCAAAAGAUCAACAAAUCCAGGAGUUGUUUUUUUGAAAAAAAAUCAAUAAAAUAGGCCACUACCUAGCCUACUUAAGAAGAAAAGAGAGAAGAUUCAAAUAAACACAAUUAGAAGUAAUGAAGCAAAUGUUACAACUGACCCCACAGAAAUGCAAACAAUCAUCAGAAACUACUAUGAACAUUUCUAAACACACAAACUAGAAAACCUAGAAGAGAUGGAUAAAUUCCUGAACACAUACACCCUCCCAAGACUGAGCCAGGAAGAAAUUGAUUCCCUGAACAGACCAAUAAUGAGCUCUGAAAUUGAAUCAGUAAUAGCCUACCAACAAAAAAAAAAGCCCAGGACCUGAUAGAUUCACAGCCGAUUUCUAUAAGGUGUACAAGGAAGAGCUGGUACUAUUCCUACAGAAACCAUUCCAAAAAAUUGAGGAGAAGGAACUUCUCUGCAACUAUUUCUAUGAGGCCAGCAUCAUUUGAUACCAAAACCCAGCAGAACACAACAAAUAAAGAAAACUUCAGGUCAGUACCCUUGAUGAACAUCAGUGCAAAAAUUCUCAAUAAAACACUUGCAAACCAAAUCCAGCAGCACAUCAAAAAGCUAAUUCACCACAAUCAAGUAGGCUUAAUCCCCAGGAUGGAAGGUGGGUUUGACACACAAAUCAAUAAAUGUGAUCCAUCACAUAAACAGAACUAAAGACAAAAACCACAUGAUUAUCUCAAUAUAUGCAGAAAAGGCUUUUGAUAAAAUCUAACAUCCCUUCAUGUUAAAAAAACUCUCAACAAACUAGGUAUUGAAGGACCAAACCUCAAAAUAAUAAGAGCCAUCUAUGACAAACCCACAACCAACAUUAUACAAAAUAAACAUAAGGUGGAAGGGUUCACCUUGAAAACUGGCGCAAGACAAGGAUGCCUUCUCUCACCACUUCUAUUCAACGUAGUAUUGGGAGUCCUAGUCAGAGUAAUCAGGCCAGAGAAAGAAAUAAAGGACAUCCAAAUAGGAAGAGAGAAAGUCAAACUAUCUCUGUUUGCAGAUGACAUUAUUCUAUAUCUAAAAAGCCCCAUAGUCUCAGCCCAAAAAGCUCUUUCAACUGAUAAACAACUUCAGCAAAGUUGCAGGAUAAAAAAAUCAAUGUACAAAAAUUACUAUUAUUCCUAUACAACUACAACAACCAAACAGAACCAAAUCAGAAUGGCAAUCCCAUUCACAAUUGCCAUACACACACACAAAAUAAAAUACCUAGGAAUACACCUAACCAGGAAAAUGAAAGAUCUCUACAAUGAAACUUACAAAACACUGUUCAAAUAAAUCAGAGAAGACACAAGCAAAUGUAAAAGCAUCCCCUUCUCAUGGAUAGAAAGAAUCAAUAGUAUUAAAAUGUCUACAGUGCCCAAAGCAAUUUACAGAUUCAAUGCUAUUCCUAUAAAAAUACCAAUGACAUUCUUCAUAGAACUAGUAAAAAUAUUUUAAAAUUUAUAUGGAACCAAAAAAGAGCCUGAAUAGCCAAGGCAAGCCUAAGCAGAGGAGGAAUCACAUUACCUGACUUCAAACUAUACCACAAAGCUACAAUGACCAAAACAGCACGUUACUGGUACAAAAACAGACACACAGACCAAUGGAACAGAAUAGAGAGCCCAGAAAUAAGGCUGAACAUCUACAACCAUUUGAUCUUUAACAAAGCUGACAAAAACAAGCAAUGGAGGAAAGACCUUAUUCAAUAAAUGGUGCUGGGAUAACCAGCUAGCCAUAUGCAGAAGAUUGAAGAUGGACGCAUUCCUUAUGCCAUAUACAAAAAUCAUCUCAAGAUGGAUUAAAGACUUAAAUGUGAAACCCAAAACUAUAAAAACCCUGAAAGACAACCUAGGCAAUGGCAUACUGGACUCAGGAAUAGGCAAAGAUUUCACGACAAAGACACCAAAAGAAAUCACAACAAAAGCAAAAAUUGACAAAUGGGAUCUAAUUAAAUUUAAGAGCUUCUGCAUUGCAAAAGAAACUAUCAGCAGAGUAAACAGACAACCUACAGAAUGGGAGAAAAAUAUUUGCAAACUAUGCAUCUGACAAAGGUCUAAUAUCCAGCAUCUUUAAAAAACUUAAUGAUAUUUACAAGAGAAAAACAAACAACCCCAUUAAAAAGUGAGCAAAGGACAUGAACAGACACUUCUCAAAAGAAGACAUACAUGCAAACAACAAACAUAUGAAAAAAAGCUCAAUAUCACUCAUCAUUAGAGAAAUGCACAUAAAAACCACAAUGAACUACCAUCUCACACCAGUCAGAACGGCUAUUGUUAAAAAGUCAAAACAUAACAGAUGCUGGUGAGGUUGUGGAGAAAAGGGAACCUUUACACACUGUUGAUGGGAGUGUAAAUUAGUUCAACCAUUGUGGAAAGCAGUAUGGUGAUUCCUCAAAGAGCUAAAAGCAGAACUACCAUUUAACCCAGCAGUCCCAUUACAGGGUAUAUACCCUGAGGAAUAUAAAGCAUUCCACCAUAAAGACACAUGCAUGCAAAUGUUCAUUGCUGCACUGUUCACAAGAGCAAAGACAUGGAAUCAACCUAAAUGCUCAUCAAUGACAAAUUGGAUAAAGAAAAUGUGGUAGAUAUACACCAUGGAAUAUUAUGCAGCCAUAAAAAAGAAUGAGAUUAUGUCCUUUGAGGGAACAUGGAUGGAGCUGGAAGCUAUCAUCCUUAGCAAACUAAUGCAGCAAGAGAAAACCAAAUACUGCAUGUUCUCACUUAUAAGUAGGAGCUAAAUGAUAAGAACUUGUGAACACAAAGAAGGAAACAACAAAUACUGGGGUCUACUUGAGGAGGGAGAAGAGCAGAAAAGAGAACUAUUAGGUGCUAAGCAUAAUAUAAUACCUGAGUGACAUAACAACAACAAACAAACCCCUGUGACAUGUGUUUAUCUAUGUAACUGUGAACCCCAAAAACCUGAGACAGGUCUCAUUUAAUUUUAAAAAGUUUAUUUUGCCAAGGUUGAGGCCACACACCUGUGACACAGCCUCAGGAGGUCCUGACACCAUACGCCCAAGAUGGUCAGAGCACAGUUUGGUUUUACACAUUCUAGGGAGACAUGAGACAACAAUCAACAUAUUCAAGAUGGACAUUGAUUCGAUCUGGAAAGAUGGGACAACUCAAAGGCAGGAAAACUCAAAUCAGGGAGGAGGCUAGGUCAUAGGUAGCUAAGAGACAAAUGGUUGCAUUCUUUUGAGUUUCUGAUUAGCCUGUCCAAAGGAGGCAAUAAGAUAUGCAUUUAUCUCAGUGAGCAGAGGGGUGACUUUGAAUAGAAUGGGGGGCAGGUUGGCCCUAAGCAGUUCCCAGCUUGACUUUUCCCUUUAGCUUAGUGAUGUGGGGGCCCAAAGAUCUAUUUUCCUUUCACAUAGCAAACCUUCAUAUGUACCUCCAAACCUUAAAUAUUUUGAAAAAAAAUUUAGAGGUCUCUUCCGCAAUUCUGGGACCACAAAUGCCAGAAAACUUCCAAAUACUUCACCCUCACAAAAGUAUGAGCUUUAAGAUCUGGACUUUGCCCUACUGGAUAUCUCCAUUCCAUUCUAAGAAAUAGGAAGGAAUUGCUAAAAUAUGAGGGGUUUCUGACAAUAAACCUCAAUAUAAUCAGUGAAUACUUCCUGAGCACCUGCCUUUUGUCAUGCUCUGGUCAAGGAACUGAGUGUAGAGAUGAAUAUAAAAUGUAAUCUCUGACAUCAGUGAUUUCAUUAGGUAGCACAGGACACUAAGCCAGUAUCUGCCACUUUAUCAGCCUUCCAGCUAUGUCUGCUCUAGCCUUUAAAUCAGAGUGUGUCCAGAUAAUAAAUCAAAUGUUUACACGUGUGGAAGGAAAGAGUACCAGUAGGGAUUUUUUUUACUCUUAAUCACUCAUUUGAGCACACAUAGUACCUGGAAAGAAAAAAGAAAUCUCUUUUCUGUCUUUGCAUCACCAGAAAUUUGCCUUGCAGGAUCUGGUAUAGUCUAGCUGGCCAGGGGAUAAUGGUGGUUUGGGUUGGAAGAGGAGGAAGGGUUUCCUCCGUAGUUUAGGUUUGCUUCAGUUUCACCAGUGAUUGUUCUCAAAGGUCCCGAUAACAGAACCUCUCAACAUCUUUCCCCUAAAGAAACUAUGAUAACCUUGUAUCUUUAUGACAUGACCACUUACGCAUCCCAAUAAAACUGAGAGAAAUAAUAGCUUUCUUUAACGCUUCUCUAAGAGAACUCUUGUCUACUCUCAUUGACUCCCAGAUAUACAUCUCUAUCCCAGAUCCUUCUCCUGAUCACCAGACCUAUAAUGACUGGUGGACACCUCUAUGUGACUGUCAUGUGGCUGCUUAAAGUUCACCAUGCCAUAGACUGAACUCACUGUUUCUACCCCACCUUGAUCUUUCUAUUCUCGGUGACUAGCCGCAUUGUUCACUGGUUCCAUCCUCUUCCUCAUUCUUUAUUCAGUACUCUUCAUUUCCUAUGAAAUAACCCCAUAAUGCCCUACUGACUUCUUGUAUUCAUCCACUUCUUUCAAUCACCACUAGCACUACUUUGGUUCAGUCCACUGCUCUCUUUUGGAUUGUUGCUAUUCUCCCAAUUAGUGUCUCCACUUCUAGUCUUACCUGCUCUAGUCCAGUCUCCAAAGUCAUUUUUAUAAUUUAAAAAUCUGAGUAUGUAUCCUCCAUUUGAAGCACUUUAAUAGGACCCCCUUUAUCUUCAAAUAAAGUCCUUCACAUAAAUCACCACGCUUUCAUUAUAUGACCUGUUCAUCUCUCCAGCUUCACAUAGUGACACUCCCCACCUUAUUGUCCAUAAUCCAUACUAUUCCAAUUGUAGUUCUCCCAGUGGAAAAAAAAAAUUCUAUUGCCUCUGGAAUUUUUCACAUGCUGGCCAAAAUAUUUAUUCUUUGUCUUUUUUAUCUGUGCUCUCUCCCAGUUCCACUUUCCUUUUUUCCUGCUUACUCUUGCAAAAAAAAUCCUCCCUGAUACCUAGAGGACUACAUCUGUGUUGGUGUCUCUGAAAUUUACUCCCAUAGGGUGCUUGACUUACCCAAUAUUGUAGCCCAAACCCACUGAACUGACUGUAAAUGCUUUGGAAGGUGAACCAUGACAUGUUUGUUGUUAAUUUCCUGAUGACUAACAUACAGGAUGGCACAGAAUCAGACAUCAAGAAAGAUGAAUCAAAAGAGAAUGACAUCAGUAAGAUGGCAGAGUAGGAAGCCCUGGACCCUCCUUCUACCUACAAACACAAAUUCAGCAACAAUUUAUGGACAAAUUCCCUUUGUGAGAAAUCAAAAACUAAUUAAAAAGCUCCUGCACUCUGGAACAGCAUAAAAACAGACAUAGCAAAGCCUGUGGACAGAUUCAGGAUACUGUCUUGUCAGAGACCCUUGCCCCCAGUGCAGGGCCAUACAUUCAGGAAGAAACCCUGUAGCUUCCAGCUUCAUGCAGUCGAGGUAAGGAGCUGGUUGCACAUUCAGCACCCCAACAUUUCCAAGGGAGUCCCCAGAGGUUUGCCUUCUUUCUUGCUAGACCUGGUGCUCUAAUGGGUCUGGUAUAGUCUAGCUGGCCAGGGGAUAAUGGAGGUGGUGGCUUGGGUUGGUAGACAACAUUGAUUUCCUUCUCCCCCAACUCCAGUUGGCACAGAGUGAGCAGAUGAAAACUUUCAGCCCUCAGCUUCCCCCAGGGAGGAAAAGAGCUGAUCUGUGCAACCAGAGCUCCAACUUCUCCAGGGCUGCUCAAACUAUUGGCAUCUGUUUCACCAGUCUUGAAGCUCUGAUGUGUGCAGUACAGUCUAACUACCCAGGAGAGAACAAAUAUGCCAAUUUGGGUUGGUAGAUGCUAUAGUUUGACCACCCCACUCCACUCUCCAGCUCAGCACAGAAAGAGUGAACAAAGCCAUAGCUCCUGCUUCUCCCUGGGGAAGUAAAGAGGUAGUAGAUGUCCAUAAGAAUCACUGGCUGGGCUGAUGGGGGGUUGGGGGUGUAUUUUCCUGUAUGAAGCCAGUUCAUGAAGACUGUGAUAGCUGCCUGUUUUGUCUAAUAACCCUCGGAUAUCAACACAGGGAGUCAAGGAAAUUAAAUAAUUGGGCAAAGAUAUUUUUAAAAAGGGAAUUAAGAUACAUUUCCAAAGACUAACCCUAAUGAACUGGAGUUACAACUUCAUGAAGAUGUGGACUGAGUCAGUAAAACAUGCAUUUAAAAAGUGAGGAUUUCAACAGAGAGAUAAAACAUAUUUUAAAGUGCCAAAUAGAAAUAGAAAUGCAUAAUAGAUGAGCCAAAUAUUCACUGGAGGGGUUCAACAGCAGACUAGAUCAUGCAGCAGAAAGGAUCAGUGAACCCAAGCACAGGUCACUAGAAAUAAUUCAGUCAAAGAAACAAUAAGAAUUAAAAGAAAAAAUGGAGAAACUUAAGGGACUUAUGGAUCACCAUCAAGUGGGCCAACAUACAUAUUAGGGAUAUUUUAGAAGGAGGAGAGAGAAAGGACCAGAAAGAUUGUUCAAAGAAAUAAUGGCUGAAAACUUACCAAAUCUUGGGAAGAAAAUGGACAUUCAGAUCUAAGAAAUUCAAAAGACACCAAAUAAGAUAAACCCAAAGAAAUACAUACAAAUUUGUAAUCAAGUUGUUAAAAGUCAAAGACAAAGAGAACUUUAAAAACAGCAAGAGAAAAGUGACUUGUCACGUACAAGAGAACUCUAUAAGACUACCGGUGGGUUUUUAAGCAGAAAGUUUUCAGGUCAGAAGGGAGUGGGAUCAUAUAUUCAAUAUGCUGAAAAAAAACUGUCAGUGAAGAAUACUAUACUCAAAAAAUUUUUCUAUAAAAGUGACACAGAGUAGGAGGAUUCUGGAAAGGUGGUAGAGUAGGAAGCACUAGGAAUAGUAAUCUGUUUCCCCAUCUACACAAAAAUUACCCUGGACUAAUCUGUCUAAUGUAAUUAUUUUGGAACUCCAAAGUUCAUUGAAGGCUUGCAACUUCCAGCAGAAGGUUUGGAUGAUAAAUAUGGUUAAUGUCAGUCAAUUUCAGCUCUUAACACAGUAACAGCUACCCAUCUCCACCCAUACUCUCUCCCCGUGGGAGGUAGCCAGCACAUGAUCCUGGAGUAACUUUCACAAAGCUUUUGGGAGUCAUGGUACCAAAUAUCUGGUAUCUGUGCUGUGAUUUCUGAUUGCUGCUUCUGAUCACAACAGCGUAGACAAGGAGGUAGUGGCUAUUGUUGGACUUCCCUCCAUUGUUGCAAGCCCCAUCCUUUCUGGAUAAAGUGACUUCCAGGGCAUGUCACUAAUCAUCUGGGAAGUGCAUACUAAACCACAUUAAAAUGUCACCUCACACCUGCUAGAAUGACUAUUAUCCAAAAAAAAAAAAAAUAUAUAUAUAUAUAUAUAUGUAUAUACACACAUAUAUAUAAAACAAGUGUUGGUGAGGAUGUGGAAAAAUUGGAACCAUUUUACAUGGUUGGUGGAAACAAAUUAAUACAGGCAUUAUGAAAACAAUAUGGAGACCUAAAAAAAUUAAAAACAGAGCGAUCACAUGUUUCAGCAAUCCCACUACUGAGUACAUGUCCAAAGGAAAGAAAAUCAGUAUGUCAAAGGAGUAUCUGCAUUCCCAUGUUCAUUGCCGCACUAUUCACAAUAGCCAAGGUAUAAAAUUUACCUAAGUGUUCAUCAGUAGAUAAAUGGAUAAUGAAAAUAUGGUGUAUAUACACAAUGGAAUAUUAUUCAGCCUUAAAAAGAAGAAAAUUACAUCAUUUGUAAUAAAAUGGAGGAAGCUGGAAGACAUUACAUUAAGUGAAAUAAGCCAGUCACAGAAAGACAAACACUGCAUGAUAUUACUUAUAUGUAGAGUGUAAGAAAGUCAAACUCAUAGAAACGGAGAGUAAAAUGGUGGUUUCCAGAGGCUGAGGGGUGGAGAAAAUUAGGAAGAUGUUAGUCAAAACACACAAAAUUUCAGUGAGACAGCAGGAAUAAGUUCAAGAGAUUUAUCAUACAUCACAGAGACUACAGUUAAUAACAAUAUAUUGUAUACUUGAAAAUUGCUAAGAGAUUAAAGUGUUCUCAUCACAAAAAAAAUUAUAAGUAUGUGAGGUAAUGCAUAUGUUCAAUAGCUUGAUUUAGCCAUUCCCUAAUGAAUACAUAUAUCAAAACAUAGUGUUGUACACCAUAAAUAUUUAUAAUUUUUACUUGUUAAUUAAAAUAUUUUUUAAAAGAAAAGACAUUCUGACAUAUGCUACAAAAUAAAUCAACCUGAAAACGUUAUGCUAAGUGAAAUAAACCAGUCACAAAGACAACUAUUGUAGGUUUCAAUUUAUAUGGAGUAUUUAAAGUAGUCAAAAUCAUAGAGACAUAAAGUAGAAUGGUGGUUGCCAGGGGCUAGGGAGUGAAGGGAAUGGGGAGUUAUUGUUUAAUGGGUAUAGAGUUUCAGUUUUGCAAGAUUAAAAGUGUUCUGGAAAUGAAUAGAUGAUGAUAGAUGUACAACAAUAUGAGUGUACUUAAUACCACUGAAUGUACACUAAAAAUGGUUAAGAAGGUAAAUUUUAUGUUACAUGGAUUUUAACACAAUAAAAAAUUGAAAAAAAUAAAAGUAGGUAUAAAGACUUUCCCAGACAAACAAAAGUUCAGAGAGUUCAUCUUCAGUAGACCUGCCUUACAAGAAAUGGUAGAGUUCUUAGAGUUGAAACAAAAGGACACUAACCAGUAACAUGAUAGCAUAAGAAAAAGUAGAAAACUCAUUGGUAAAGGUAAAUAUGUAGACAAAUACAGAAUACUGCAUUACUGUAAUGGGGUGGAAAAUCACCCCAUUAAUUCUAGCAUAAAAGCUAAAAGACAAAGUAUGAAAAAUAAAUAUAACUAAAACCAUGAUAAAAGAUAUACAAUAUGAAUACACAUAAAUUGUGACAAGAAUAAUAUAUGAGGGGUUAAAGUGUAGAGUAUGUGAUUGAACUUAAGUUGUUAUCAGCUUAAAAUAGACUGCUAUAACCAUAUUUUAUGUAAGCCCCAAAGUAUGUAUGUAACCACAAAGAAGAUUUUUUAUGUAACCACAAUAAAGUCCCUAUAGAAAUUACACAAAGAAAAUAAAGAAUAAAAUCAAGCAUAUUAUCUUAGUUUAUUUGGGCUGCUAUAACAAAAUACCUUAGACUUGGCAAUUUACAAAUAACAGAAAUUUAUUGCUCACAGUUCUGCGGACUAGAAAGUCUGAGAUCAAGGCAUCAGCAGAUUCAGUGUCUGGUGAUGUGUCAGUCUCUGCUUCAAAGAUGAUGCUUGCUCACUGCACCCUCACAUAGUAGAAGGGGUGAAUAAGCUCCCUUAGGCCUCUUUUACAAAGGCACUAAUCCAUUCAUUAGGGUGGAGCCCUCAUUAUCCAAUCAUCUCCCAAAGGCUCCACACUUUAAUAUUAUUGAAUUGGGUAUUAGGAUUCAACAUAUAAAUUUUGGAGGGAAACAAACAUUCAGAUCAUAGCACAUAUUAAUGCAAAAACUUUACAAAACAUAAAGAAAGACAGCAAGAGAGAAAAAGAAAAGGGAACUACAAGACUGAGAGAAAACAACUAGUAAAUGCCUAUAGUAAAUCCUUUCCUAUCAAUAUUACUUUAAAUGUAAAUUGAUUAAAUUCCCCCAAUCAAAAGACAAACAGUGAGUAAUGGACUUUUUUUAAAGACCCAACUAUGUGCUGCCUACAAGAAACUCACUUUAGAUAUAAAAACACACAUAAGUUGAAACUGAAGCCAAGAAAAAAGUAUUCCAUGCAUAUGGUAAUCAAAAGAGAGUAGGAGUGGCUGUACUUAUAUCAGAAAAAUAGACUUGAAGUCAAAAAUUGUCAAAAGAGACAAAGAAGGACAUUAUAUGAUGAAAAGGGUCAGUCCAUAGGCUGUAAUACCAAUAUAAGAGCACUUAAAUAUAUAAAAUAUUGACAAAACUGAAGGGAAAAACAGACAGCAAUACAAUAAUAGUAGAAUUCAGUACCCUACUUUCAAUAAUGAACAGAAUAUCCACACAGAAGAUCAAUAAACAGAGGACCUCAAUCGCAUUAUAAAACAAAUGGACCUAACAGACAUGUACAGAACAUUCCAUCCAACAGCAGCAUAAUACACAUUAUUUUCAAGUACACAUGAUUCUUUCUGCAGAGCAGGUCACAUGUUAGGUCACAAAAUAAGUCAACAAAUUUAAAAAGAUUGAAAUCUUACCAAAGAUUGACCAUUAUGGUCAACCUUUUCUGACCACGAUGGAAUGAAACGAGAAAUCAGUAGCAGAAGGAAAACUGAAAAAUUCACAGAUAUAUGGAAACUAAACAACAUACUUAUAAACAACAAUUGAGUUACGAGGAAAUCAAAAGGAAAUUAGAAAAUAUCUCAAUACAAAUAAAAAUGAAAACACAACAUACCACUGCCUAUAGGGUAUAGCAAAAGCAGUAGUAAGAGAGAAGUUUAUGGUGAUGAACAUCUACAUUACAAAAGACAAAAUGUCUCAAAUAAACAACCUAACUUUAUACCUCAAGGAACUAGGAAAAAACAAUAAAUUAGUUCCAAAGUUAGCAGAAGGUAGGAAAUAACAGAUUAUUACCCAGAAAUAAAUGAGAGAGAAAAUAUAAAAACAAUAGAAAAAAAUCAAUGAAACUGAGAGUUGGUUUUUUAAAAGAUAAAUAAAAGUGACAAACUUGUAGCUAGACUAAGAAAAAACACUCAAAUAAAUAAAAUCAGAACUGGAAAGAGGAAACAUUACAACUCUUGCCACAGAAAUAAAAAGGAUCCUAACAGACUGCUAUGAACAAUAUCCAACAAACUGGAUAACCUAGAAGAAAUGAUAAAUUCCUAGAAACAUAUAACCUACCAAUACUAAACCAUAAGGAAAUAUAAAGUCAAAACCGACACAUAACUAGUAUGGAGAUUGAAUCAGUAAUCAAAAACCUCCCCAAAAAUCAAGCUCAAUACCUGUAGAGUCACUGGUAAACUCUAUCAAACAUUUAAAGAAGAAUUAAUGCCACUCCUUCUCAAACUCUUCCAAAAAAUUAAAGAGGAGAGAACACUUCCAAACUUAUUUUAUGAGGCUAGCAUUACCUUGAUUCCAAAGCCAGACAAAGACAACACAAGAAAGAAAACCUACAGGCCAAUAUUCUCAAUGAAUAUAGAUGCAAAAAAGCCUCAACAAAAUACUAGCAAACUGAAUUCAAUGGCACAUUAAAGGGAUUAUACACCAUGACCAUAUGAGACUUAUCCCAGAGAUGUAAGGAUGGCUUAAUGUCGAAAAAGCAAGUAAUUUAAUAUACUACAUUGACAUAAUAAAAAAUAAAAUCACAUCAUCAUUUUAAUAGAUGCAGGAAAGGCAUGUGACAAAAUUUGACAUUGUUUCAUGAAAAAAACUGUCAACAUACUAGGUAUAGGAGGAAUCUACUUCAACAUUAUAAAGGUCAUAUAUAAAAAGUCCAUAGCUCACAUUAUACUCAAUGGUGAAAAACUGAAAGCUUUUCCUCUAAGAUGAGAAACAUGGCAAGGAUGCCCACUCUUGCCAGUUCUAUUCAACAUAGCACUAGAAGUCCUAGCCAGAGAAAUUAGACAAGAAAAAAUAAACAUAAAGAUUCAAACUGGAAAGGAAGAAGUAAAAUUAUUCCUAUUUGCAGAUGACAUUAUGUUAUAUAGAGAAAACUUUAAAGACUCAAUUUUAAAAAAAAAACUGUUAGAAUAAGCAGUUAAUAAUAAUAAAUAAAUUCAGUAAAGUUGCAGUUAACAUACAAAACUUAGUAGUAUUCCUAUAUACCAACAACAAAAUAAAUUGUUAGAAUAAACAGUUAACAGUAAUAAAUUCAGUAAAGUUGUAGUCAACAUACAAAACUUAAUAGCAUUCUGAUACACUAACAACAAAUAUCUGAAAAGAAAUUUAAGAAAACAAUUUCACUCAUAAUAGUGUCAAAAAGAAUAAAAUACAUAAAGAUAAACUUAACUACAAGGUGGAAAACUUAUACUGAAAACUACAAAAUAUUGAUGAAAGAAAACUAAACAAGACACAAACAACUGGAAAGCACUCCAUGUUUAUGGAUUAGAAGAGUUAAUAUUGUUAAAAUAUUCAUACUACCCAAGGCAAACUACACAUUCAAUGCACUCC